AACGAUGACUUCUGUGCUUGCACAGAAUGAUUAGUGGCGAACGGGUGAGUAACACGUGAGUAACCUGCCCUUAACUUCGGGAUAAGCCUGGGAAACUGGGUCUAAUACCGGAUACGACCACCUGGCGCAUGCCAUGGUGGUGGAAAGCUUUAUGCGGUUUUGGAUGGACUCGCGGCCUAUCAGCUUGUUGGUGGGGUAAUGGCCCACCAAGGCGACGACGGGUAGCCGGCCUGAGAGGGUGACCGGCCACACUGGGACUGAGACACGGCCCAGACUCCUACGGGAGGCAGCAGUGGGGAAUAUUGCACAAUGGGCGAAAGCCUGAUGCAGCGACGCCGCGUGAGGGAUGACGGCCUUCGGGUUGUAAACCUCUUUCAGCAGGGAAGAAGCGAAAGUGACGGUACCUGCAGAAGAAGCGCCGGCUAACUACGUGCCAGCAGCCGCGGUAAUACGUAGGGCGCAAGCGUUAUCCGGAAUUAUUGGGCGUAAAGAGCUCGUAGGCGGUUUGUCGCGUCUGCUGUGAAAGCCCGGGGCUCAACCCCGGGUCUGCAGUGGGUACGGGCAGACUAGAGUGCAGUAGGGGAGACUGGAAUUCCUGGUGUAGCGGUGA
rnacentral:rRNA from 1 species